GGGCGGAUGGUUUAGUGGUAUAAUGCCUUAGCAUGAAUGGAGGAGGUCCGGGGUUCGAUUCCCCGUCUGUCCA
rnacentral:tRNA from 1 species